AUGUGGAGCAACUGGAACUCUCCUAUGCUGCUGGGGAAGGGGUAAAUUAAUACCAUCCCUUUGGAAGAACCGUUUGGAAGCAUCACUAAAGCUGAACAUAUUCAUGCCUACUCCAGAAAUCCUGAGCCCAGUGGCUCCCUUUGAAGAACUGCCUUGGGGUUCAUGUUGCAGCAUCAAACAGGGAUGGAAGAUGCAUCUUGCUUUAGCAGCAGGACCCUGGAAAGCAGCUGAAGCCCUGGAGGGUGCCUGGCACACAGAAUCUUGCGCUGAGCCCGGAGCACAAUGGGAGUGGGCUAGCGGGGUGGGUUCACAGCUGGACUGGGAGCAGCAGACAUACAGGCCGUAGGCACAGACACAUACAUACAGUCAUGCAGAUUGCAGGAUGCCUGAGAGCACAGACUCUCACAUGCACAAACACGUGCAUGAUCACCAAUGUGCAUCCAGACAGUAGCCCCACAUGCACGCACAUGCAUGCACACAUGUGAUGUGUACAUAGAUGGACACAUGUCUAUGCCCACUAACACUGCAGAGACACACACAAAAGUGUCUGGCAAGGAACACUAUUUUGUCCUCAAUUUUCUGCCAGCGAGAGUCUACUAACUCCAUCUCUGAAAUGUCCGUGCUUAUUGUCCCUCUUCUCUACCUGUGCCACAGCCCUAGUCCCUGAAACUCCCACCAAGACCCCUGGGCAAUAGCAAAGUCAGGAAAGGAUUCCUGCUCCGCCUCUACUCCACCCUUAAGCCCAUCCUACAUGCAAGAGCAGGAGUUAUCUGGGUAUCAAGCAAAUCUAACCACAUCACCUCCCCACUGCUUAAAACGCUUUCCUACAGGAUGAAGUUUAAAUCACUUGGCAUCCCAUAUAAGGCCCUUGACUGUCUGGUAUCAGCCAUAGUCUGGCCUCAGGCCCUGUCAUGGAGCCCCCUGGACUCAAUGCUCUGGCUGAGGGCCUCCAGGAUGAAGAUGCUGUGUGCAAAGUCUCACACUUUUGCUGUUGCUGGGCUACUAUGUGAAAUUCCCUCCUCCCUCCUUCCACCUUCCCUAUGCUGAACUGCCACUCCUCCAUCCUCCAUGGCCAGCUAAGCCAACACCUCCCCACUUCCUCCUGACAACCCAGGCACAGCCUGUCCCAUGGCUGUCACAGCCCUUUCUUGGGCUCUUAAUGGUAUCAUUGUCACCUGUGUGCUCAUGAGCCUCCGCCACUCAACUCCAAGCACAUCAAAUACAGAGCCCAAAACAUACUGGGUACUCAACAAAUUUCUGGGUGUGAGUGAAUGAAUGAAUUAGUCUGUAAGACAGGAUCACGCUAGGUGAUUGUUCUGGCUACAAAACCUGGGCAUGUCCUGUAUGUAACUCCUAUGAUCUCAGCCUCCACAUAGGUAAAAAGGGCUCUCUACCUCCUGGCAGAAUCUAUGGUUCAGACCAUGGAGAUGUAUAUAAAUAACUGAGCUGAGUGGCUAACAUGGUGGGCGCUCCACAGAUGACAGCCAUAGUUGCUGUCUUUAACUUCUAUUUUUAUUUCCACUGAAGUCUUUCCAUUCAUGUUUCUUAAUUCUCCAUCUCCCUCACUGCCUAUCCAGUUCAGUGCUGGGCUCCCGGAACCGGCUCAUUGAAGGUGUGUUGUCGGAUUGAUCGGCUGAAUGGCUUCUUAAGGCUUGUUUCCAGUCUGAGAACUCUGAGCUGAGUACCGCUCUUCCUCCCUCCCAGCCUCCCCCGAGACUGGAAGCAGAGAGCCGUACAGAGAUCACUCCUCUUCCAGGCUCCAGAAGCUGAACAGCUGCUCUGUUUGGAGUUCUGUGCGCUGAGCUGAGUUAGGACCUGGGGGGACGGGAACAGCUGAGCCUUUCUGCUCCAAAAAACAGAGUCAUUUCAGCCACAGCCACCCAGCAGCUGCCUAGCCCCUCCCAGACGCCCCCAGGGAUGCUGCACAUGUGGCUAGGGUUCCCAUAGGAACCUCUGUGGAGACCUGCCGUCCCUGCUUCCCCACAUCUCCUUUUGGACUUGUGAGAGAGGUUAGGAAGAGGAGGGGAGGGGAAAGGACAGGACUGGCAGGCACUUUCGUACACAAACACCCAGUCUCUUAAUCCUCACAAUAACUCUAAGAAAUAUCCUUUUAUUAUCCUUGUUGUACUGACAAGGAAACUGAGGCCCAAAGACAUCUGACCCAAGUUCACCCAGGUAACGAACAAGAGAACUGGUCUGCCACCUUAUCGGUUUGUACUGAUGCAGUUAGUGUCAGUCAGUACCAGCUAGGGAUCUCUGGUUGCAAGCAACAGAAACCAACUCCCACUAUCACAAACAAAAAAUAUACUGAAGGACUGUGGUGCCACACCAGAAGGAAAGGAA